GACGAACGCUGGCGGCGUGCCUAAUACAUGCAAGUCGAACGCAGUGGGGACGGGUGAGUAACACGUGGGUAACCUCCCAUCAGAGGGGAUAACACUUGGAAACAGGUGCUAAACCGAUACUGAUGGAUGGACGCUCGGUGAAUUAGGUAGUGGGGGAGGUAACGGCUAACCAAGGCCACGAUGCAUAGCCGACUGGAGAGGGGGAUGGGCAACACUGGGACUGAGACACGGCCCAGACUCCUACGGGAGGCAGCAUUGGGGAAUCUUCGGCAAUGGACGAAAGUCUGACCGAGCAACGCCGCGUGAGUGAAGAAGGUUUUCGGAUCGUAAAACUCUGUUGUUAGAGAAGCGGUAUCUAACCAGAAAGCCACGGCUAACUACGUGCCAGCCGCCGCGGUAAUAC
rnacentral:rRNA from 1 species